UACGUAGGGGGCAAGCGUUGUCCGGAAUCAUUGGGCGUAAAGCGCGUGUAGGCGGUCCGGUAAGUCCGCUGUGAAAGUCAGGGGCUCAACCCUCGGAUGCCGGUGGAUACUGUCGGGCUUGAGUACGGAAGAGGCGAGUGGAAUUCCUGGUGUAGCGGUGAAAUGCGCAGAUAUCAGGAGGAACACCAAUUGCGAAGGCAGCUCGCUGGGACGUUACUGACGCUGAGACGCGAAAGCGUGGGGAGCAAACAGG
rnacentral:rRNA from 1 species